GAUCGGUGCAGUCAGUCUUAAAGGGACAGCAUCCAAAUGUACCUGCUGUCAUUAUUAAUGCAAAUCAAACAACAAAAAAGAGAAAAUCUCUCCCUGCUUGCUUUUGUAACUUUAAUAAGAAUAAAUGUAUAUUUAACUAACACAGUAAAGGCUAUGCAUUGUUUUUAUACAUUUUAAUACUUUAUACAUUUUAUGCAGUAUUUCUAGUGCUUGAAGUUUUUCAUGUCGGUCUAUUUUGUCUGUUUCUUAGUUCUAUUGUAGUUUUUCUUUGCUCUUUCUUUAUCACCGUUUACUUGUCUUCAGUAAGCUUGAGAGUUUUUUUUUUUUUUUAGGCUAGUAUUUUUUUUUUUUUUUAAUUAUAUUGAAAAUGUAUUAUGCUGUAAUGUUACUCUUUUGAUUACAGUCAACUUUUUUCUCAUAAAAGAUGUUUCAUAUUUCUCCACUGUAGGCACUGGUGCUGUAAAGUCUCACAAGAGCUUCAAUCAAAGCCCAGAGAUGACAGAGACGACUCAGAACUCCCAUCCAAGAAACGGGCCAGUACAGUAAAAAAAUCUUUUAUUGAGGCACAAUCUCUCAAUUGAGGAAACUAUUUGUUUUCUCAGUCUAGCUGAGCUGUGGCUGUGCCACCUAAACAAGUCACAAUCUGACCCAGCAUACUCCUGUUCAGCUCGUCAGAAAGCAUAAGAACCUGCCUGGUCUGCUCCUCUCGAGUCAGAGUGCUCAGACUAGGCGAAGGACAUUCUCAGUGUAGCUGAGCUGUGGCUGUGCCACCUAAACAGGUCACAAUCUGACCCAGCAUACUCCUGUUCAGCUCGUCAGAGAGCACAAGAACCUGCCUGGUCUGCUCUUCUUCUGUGAGAGAGCUCGGAGAGUCCUUCUAGCGCAUGUUUACAUAGAAAAACAAUGAAAAAGUAGCGCAUUUGGUGAGGCACAUUCUCAGUGCAGCUGAGCUGUGGCUGUGCCACCUAAACAGGUCACAAUCUGACCCAGCAUACUCCUGUUCAGCUCGUCAGAGAGCACAAGAACCUGCCUGGUCUGCUCUUCUUCUGUGAGAGAGCUCGGAGAGUCCUUCUAGCGCAUGUUUACAUAGAAAAACAAUGAAAAAGUAGCGCAUUUGGUGAGGCACAUUCUCAGUGCAGCUGAGCUGUGGCUGUGCCACCUAAACAGGUCACAAUCUGACCCAGCAUACUCCUGUUCAGCUCGUCAGAGAGCACAAGAACCUGCCUGGUCUGCUCUUCUUCUGUGAGAGAGCUCGGAGAGUCCUUCUAGCGCAUGUUUACAUAGAAAAACAAUGAAAAAGUAGCGCAUUGGAAUGGUGAGGCACAUUCUCAGUGCAGCUGAGCUGUGGCUGUGCCACCUAAACAGGUCACAAUCUGACCCAGCAUACUCCUGUUCAGCUCGUCAGAAAGCACAAGAACCUGCCUGGUCUGCUCUUCUUCAGUCAGAGAGCUCAGAGAGGGUGCAGUCUGCAUCUCAUCUACCAAAUCCAAACACAGACAAGAUUAGCAGCUCCGUUUGCAAAUAAUUAUGAAUGCGUUUAGCAAAAACAUGUUCAUAUUGAUACACCUCGUAGAUUCUCACGCACACUGCCAGUGCUAGAGCCCUCUUGGGUCAUCAAGAUUGUUCGGUCUUAUGUUGACAGCAUGAAUGCAGAUUUGUUGGGCUGCUCGCUUUCUUGAUCAUAGCUAUGGCAAUAGGAGUGGCCGUGCCGUCUCUCGUUUUCCAUCCGAGGCUAUCCUGGUUUAUCUGGAAGUAGCGUAUUCAUAAGCAUGGAAGUGUCCACACUCUGGUGUGUCUCUGGGCCGUGGCUUUGCUGAUAGCCUCAGCGUCUGCUGCUCUGGAGAAGAGGUGGAUUUGUUUAGUGUUGUGGACGCUGCUGCCUUUGCUGACUUCCUCUGUGCAGAAAAAUGUGUUCAUUCCAUCUUCAGUGGUCCUCAGAUUUAUGGCUACCCUCUCCCUGCUCCUUCAGCCUCGGACAUCUGCAUCAGGAGCCCAGCUCGUCUCUCUGGACAAUGGCUUUGCUGAAUGCCUCAGGCAGCGUUAAGUGUUGUGGACGCUGCUGCCUUCGCUGACUUCCUCUGUGCAGAAAAAUGUGUUCAUUCCAUCUUCAGUGGUCCUCAGAUUUAUGGCUACCCUCUCCACUGCCUGCAUCCUCCAGCCUCGGACAUCUGCAUCAGGAGCCCAGCUCGUCUCUCUGGACAAUGGCUUUGCUGAAUGCCUCAGGCAGCGUUAAGUGUUGUGGACGCUGCUGCCUUCGCUGACUUCCUCUGUGCAGAAAAAUGCGUUCAUUUCAUCUUCAGUGGUCCUCAGAUUUAUGGCUACCCUCUCCACUGCCUGCUCCUCCAGCCUCGGACAUCUGCAUCAGGAGCCCAGCUCGUCUCUCUGGACAAUGGCUUUGCUGAUAGCCUCAGCGUCUGCUGCUCUGGAGAAGAGCUGGAUUUGUUUAGUGUUGUGGACGCUGCUGCCUUUGUGCAGAAAAAUGUGUUCAUUCCAUCUUCAGUGGUCCUCAGAUUUAUGGCUACCCUCUCCCUGCUCCUUCAGCCUCAGACAUCUGCAUCAGGAGCCCAGCUCGUCUCUCUGGACAAUGGCUUUGCUGAAUGCCUCAGGCAGCGUUAAGUGUUGUGGACGCUGCUGCCUUCGCUGACUUCCUCUGUGCAGAAAAAUGUGUUCAUUCCAUCUUCAGUGGUCCUCAGAUUUAUGGCUACCCUCUCCACUGCCUGCAUCCUCCAGCCUCGGACAUCUGCAUCAGGAGCCCAGCUCGUCUCUCUGGACAAUGGCUUUGCUGAAUGCCUCAGGCAGCGUUAAGUGUUGUGGACGCUGCUGCCUUCGCUGACUUCCUCUGUGCAGAAAAAUGCGUUCAUUUCAUCUUCAGUGGUCCUCAGAUUUAUGGCUACCCUCUCCACUGCCUGCUCCUCCAGCCUCGGACAUCUGCAUCAGGAGCCCAGCUCGUCUCUCUGGACAAUGGCUUUGCUGAUAGCCUCAGCGUCUGCUGCUCUGGAGAAGAGCUGGAUUUGUUUAGUGUUGUGGACGCUGCUGCCUUUGUGCAGAAAAAUGUGUUCAUUCCAUCUUCAGUGGUCCUCAGAUUUAUGGCUACCCUCUCCCUGCUCCUUCAGCCUCGGACAUCUGCAUCAGGAGCCCAGCUCGUCUCUCUGGACAAUGGCUUUGCUGAAUGCCUCAGGCAGCGUUAAGUGUUGUGGACGCUGCUGCCUUCGCUGACUUCGUGCUGGUUGUCUGCAAGCAUAUGGUCUCCCUGGGCAACGGGCUUUUCUUCCUCCAGUUCCAUUCCAGUCUGAAUGUGGCAGUUUCCUUACUGGACAAAAACCCAUCAACAGAUAAUAGACUCCGGGGCAAAUCCGCCUUCAAGUCACCAGCUCUGCUGUACACUCAGAUUCAGUUCGGCAAUGCACACAGAAUAUGCCCCGUCGUCACUGAAUCAUUCUCCUCACCGUGGAAAAGCUGGAGCCGACAGGUCGGUGAAGACUGAACACGCUUACAGCUCAUUCAAGUGCCACCAGUGUGUUUUUGGAGUAUUUCAUCUUUUUAUUUCACCUUUACCGAACGUCUGAGUAAAGAUGUUCCACUUAAUCGAGCUCUUGAUCAAUAAAAUGGUAGCAGUGGUGCCACAAACCUGGUGUAGAGAUGGAGUUCUCUGUUGGCCAAACUACAAUGAUGAAAGAGUAAACAGGGCAGUGAAAAAUUCAGAGGAGCCUGGACCUGACUGGAAAACAUAUGAUGUCAGAGUUAUUGAAACAUGUGGUAUGCAAUUUUUUUUUUUUUUUUUUUUAAAGUCAAAAUGACUAUUGUAAGCAAAUAUAAAAAUAUUUUGCCCUUAUGUAAUUGAAAAAAAAAAAAUCCUUUUAAUCGGUCUCAUACUGUUCUGUUGUCUGUAAUUAUAUUCUUUUUUGCUCUGAUCAUUUGAAACAAACUGAUUUGUCUUGGACCGGAGCAGAAAUGUGCCAGGUACCUGAACAUCGGUGCUAUGGGCUCUGUCCCUGAUGAGCCAGGAGGCUUGUGGGCUUAUAUUUAUGCCAAUCAUUUUAUUUAUUUAUUAUUCUUUAUUGUAUAUAGUUAUUACAGCCUCAGGCUUGUUUGUUGCCAGUCCGACAGCAUCACAUGUGGAGGACAACACCAAGCCGAUCGAUCAUGAGGUGGUCUGUCUAUCUGCUUGCAUCACGAGGGCUAGGGUACACAAGGUGAAUGCAGCGGCACCGGCAUGAGUAAAGAAGUGCAUAUGCUACUUCCAGAUCAACCAGGUAGCCCCGGAUGGAGAACUGUGACACGCUGGCUUCCUACACGCGGGUCUCGCUCUGCUCGGGCCCGAGGCUCAUAUCAUCAUCAUCAUCAUCAUCAUUAUUAACACAAGAUUUUCUUUACAGACUCUCCUCUUGCCAGGACGAUGAUCAAGAGAGCGGUCAGACCAACAGAUUGGCAACAUACCAGACCGGGCAAUCUGGACUUGCCAAUCCCAGGUGAUCCAAGAGGGCUCAACGAGAUGUGCUCCAGGCUGCACCCAAUCUGCCUGAAGAAGAGCAGACCAGGCCGGUUCUGGCGCUCUCAGAGGAGCUGAACAGGGGUGUUCUGUGUCAGAUUGUGACCUGUUUGAGUGGCACAGCUCCACACCAUAGGACAUGUAGGACAGAUAUGCUGUCUGGGCAACCAGACAGUCACUCUGGAGGAAGCGAAGGCGGCAGCUUCUGCUCACGCUCCGUGGGGUAUUUAGCAAAGCCAUAGUACAGAGGGGCUUCUUUCUCCAGUGGAGAGAGAAGCCCUAGAAGAGCAGCACACUGCGUUUGUUUUAUUUAGGUUGCUGUUGCUUUGGUUUUGUUGUGUGUAUAUAGUUGGUUUCACGUUGUUUUAUGCUUUCAUGUAACUUUUAAUCUUGUUAAUUUCUAGUUUUCCCCAUGUUUCCUAAGAGUUUUUAUUGUUAUUUGGUUGUUAAUUAGUAUUUAUUGAUUUUGUGUGUUCUUGUUUGUUCAAUAGUUUACUUUCUUUUAUUGUUCAUGUUUUGUUAUGCUGUGCUUUGUAUAUAGUUCUUUUUUUAAAAUAAUAAAUAAUCUCCCUUAACCCAUUGCUUAAUUUCAUUCUUUUCUUUUUAGUACCAAUACUUUUUUUUAUUCAGUAUAAAUAUUAAAACAUGUGAUCAUGGGAACAAAAGUCAAAUUUUUAGACUCAUAAAUGCUUUGAUCUGAAAUGUUAUGCUUCGACGGGCUCAUGAAGACACAGAACCCCUGCUAUUGUCCACUAAUAUGGACAAAAUGCAUUAUUAAUCAU